rnacentral:rRNA from 1 species
GCGAAAACCUUACAAUGCGAGCAAUCGUGAUAAGGGAACUCCGAGUGCCUGUAAAAUAAGGCCGUCCGCCAGUUUAAAUAACUGGUGAAGAAAGGGCCGGGCAAGACCGGUGCCAGCCGCCGCGGUAAUACCGGCGGCUAGAGUGGUGGCAACUAUUACUGGGCUUAAAGCGUUCGUAGCUGGUCUGUUAAGUCUCUGGGGAAAUCUUCCGGCUUAACCGGAAGGCGUCUCAGGGAUACUGGCAGACUAGGGACCGGAAGAGGUGAGGGGUACUCCAGGGGUAGGAGUGAAAUCCUGUAAUCCGUGGGGGACCACCUGUGGGGAAGGCGUCUCACCAGGUCGGCGCCGACAGUGAGGUACGAAGGCUGGGGGAGCGGGCC